ACGGCUCAGUAACACGUGGCUAAUCUGCCCUUGGGACCGGAACACCCCCGGGAAACUGGGGCUAAUUCUCGAUAGGUGAAGAACUCUGGAAUGAGUCUUUGCCAAAAAGACGUUUGCGUUAUGCUCGUAGGCGUCGCCCAAGGAUGAGGCCGCGACCGAUCAGGUUGUUGGUGAGGUAAUGGCUCACCAAGCCUUUUACCGGUGCGGGCCGUGAGAGCGGGAGCCCGGAGAUGGGCACUGAGACAAGGGCCCAGGCCCUACGGGGCGCAGCAGUCGCGAAAACUUUGCAAUACACGAAAGUGUGACAGGGCUAUCCCGAGUGCCAUCCGCUGAGGAAGGCUUUUACCCAGUCUAGAACGCUGGGGGAAUAAGGAGAGGGCAAGUCUGGUGUCAGCCGCCGCGGUAAUACCAGCUCUCCGAGUGGUGUGGAUGUUUAUUGGGCCUAAAGCAUCCGUAGCUGGCUAAGUUAGUCCCUUGUUAAAUCCACCGAAUUAAUCGUUGGAUUGCGGGGGAUACUGCUUAGCUAGGGGACGAGAGAGGCAGACGGUAUUUCCGGGGUAGGGGUGAAAUCCUAUAAUCCCGGGAAGACCACCAGUGGCGAAGGCUGUCUGCUAGAACGCGCCCGACGGUGAGGGAUGAAAGCUGGGGGAGCGAACCGGAUUAGAUACCCGGGUAGUCCCAGCUGUAAACGAUGCACGCUAGGUGUUUGGACGGCCACGUGCCGUUCUAGUGCCGCAGGGAAGCUGUUAAGCCUGCCGCCUGGGGAGUACGAUCGCAAGAUUGAAACUUAAAGGAAUUGGCGGGGGAG
rnacentral:rRNA from 1 species